ACGCUCGACACCUACGGGNGGCAGCAGUGGGGAAUAUUGCACAAUGGGGGAAACCCUGAUGCAGCGACGCCGCGUGAGCGAAGAAGUAUUUCGGUAUGUAAAGCUCUAUCAGCAGGGAAGAAACUGACGGUACCUGACUAAGAAGCACCGGCUAAAUACGUGCCAGUAGCCGCGGUAAUCUGAGCGGGCUGGCAAGGC
rnacentral:rRNA from 1 species